rnacentral:rRNA from 1 species
UACCGCGGUUAAACGAGCGGCCCAAGUUGAUAGGCUACGGCGUAAAGCGUGGUUAGGGGGAAAUACCUAAAAACUAAAGCCGAAUGCCAUCAUGGCUGUUAUACGCUCACGAUGGUUAGAAGCCCAAUCACGAAAGUAGCUUUAAAACGACCUGAACCCACGAAAGCUAGG